rnacentral:rRNA from 1 species
UUUAAUGGAGAGUUUGAUCCUGGCUCAGGACGAACGCUGGCGGCGUGCCUAAUACAUGCAAGUCGAGCGGGGUUAGUUAGAAGCUUGCUUCUAACUAACCUAGCGGCGGACGGGUGAGUAACACGUAGGCAACCUGCCCACAAGACAGGGAUAACUACCGGAAACGGUAGCUAAUACCCGAUACAUCCUUUUCCUGCAUGGGAGAAGGAGGAAAGGCGGAGCAAUCUGUCACUUGUGGAUGGGCCUGCGGCGCAUUAGCUAGUUGGUGGGGUAAAGGCCUACCAAGGCGACGAUGCGUAGCCGACCUGAGAGGGUGAUCGGCCACACUGGGACUGAGACACGGCCCAGACUCCUACGGGAGGCAGCAGUAGGGAAUCUUCCGCAAUGGGCGAAAGCCUGACGGAGCAACGCCGCGUGAGUGAUGAAGGUUUUCGGAUCGUAAAGCUCUGUUGCCAGGGAAGAACG